UCGAUCAGUUGCUUUUGUCAUCUGCAUUUACAGAUGAAGAAACUGAAUCAAGAGCUUUGUUAUCUUCACCAAUGUCCUUAACCAAGAUAUCCCAACUCACAAGAUCUUUCCCUUGAAUAAGGGUUGCAGAAAGGUAGCCUGUGCAAGUUAGGGGAGCAUGUAAGCAAACCAGCUUCCCUAUUGGAUAUGUGAAGGGAAUUAUCUGAUGACAUUGCAGAUCACUGUAGUGUAGAAGGAGAAAAAUGACCUUAAGAUUUUCACCAUGGAAAACAAGGAGGACCAAGAAUAAAAUCGAAAUGAUAGACAGGUGAUAUAGUCCCAAGAAAAGAAGAGGAAUAUCAUCUCAUAGUGAAAUGUUUCAGAGCUUGUUGAAAAGCAUUUGAGAAAACUAAAGGAAGUUUAAAAACAUGAAACAUCGAUGAGGCAGAAUAAUGCUUCCUGGAUGGAUAGACUAAAAAAACUUUUUAAUGGCAAAUGGAAAAGCAUGUUUAAAACUCCUCAGCACUUGGUUUUGUUCUUUUUAGAUCUCUUGUAGUGAAUAAGUACCAUACAAAUAAAUGAGACAAGGUGAUGUUUGUCCUUCACAAGGAAAGUGUGAAGAGAAAUCCUGAUCAACUCUUGAAAUAUAACCCAUAGCCAUCUAGGGCACUGAUUUGAAGGCCAUUCUUGCUGCCUUAAAUAAUUUGCUCAAUUCACUGUCAGAACGUCAAUGCUUGCUUGAGUAGAAGGGGACUUUCAUUUAUUUUCAUUCUAUUCUUCCUUAAAAAACAAAUCAUAUACUUUCCCAUGAUUAGGAAAAAUAAUCUUCAUGUUAAAAAAGAAGCAAAAUCUGGGUUUUAAUAUAUGGAA